rnacentral:rRNA from 1 species
CCUACGGGUGGCAGCAGUGAGGAAUAUUGGUCAAUGGACGAGAGCCUGACCCAGCCAAGUCGCGUGAAGGAUGACUGCCCUAUGGGUUGUAACCUUCUUUUAUAAAGGAAUAAAACGAGGCACGUGUGCCUUUUUGCACGUACUUUAUGAAUAAGCAUCGGCUAACUCCGUGCCAGCAGCCGCGGUAAUACGGAGGAUCCGUGCGUUAUCCGGAUUUAUUGGGUUUAAAGGGAGUGUAGGUGGGAUAUUAAGUCAUUUGUGAAAGUUUAGGGCUCAACCUUCAAAUUGCAAUUGAUACUGGUAGUCUUGAGUACAGGUGAGGUAGGCGGAAUUCGGGGUGUAGCGGUGAAAUGCUUAGAUAUAAGGAAGAACCCCGAUUGCGAAGGCAGAUUGCUAAACAGUAACUGACAUUGAUGCGCGAAAGUGUGGGGAUCAAACAGGAUUAGAUACCCCGGUAGUC